rnacentral:rRNA from 1 species
AUUGAACGCUGGCGGCAGGCCUAACACAUGCAAGUCGAGCGAGCGGCGGACGGGUGCGUAAUGUUUGGGGACUGCCCGUUAGCGGGGGAUAACUACUGGAAACGGUAGCUAAUACCGCAUACUAUCGGCUACCCCAUAUGGGAUUAGCUAGUAGGUGAGGGAAUGGCCCACCUAGUCGACGAUCCCUAGCUGGUCUGAGAGGAUGAUCAGCCACACUGGGACUGAGACACGGCCCAGACUCCUACGGAGGCAGCAGUGGGGAAUAUUGCACAAUGGGCGCAAGCCUGAUGCAGCCAUGACGCGUGAAUGAAGAAGGCCCUAGGGUUGUAAAGUACGUUCGGUCGGGAGGCGUUACCGACAGAGGAAGCACCGGCUAACUCCGUGCCAGCAGCCGCGGUAAUAC